UGAGCAGCCCGAGCAGUUGCGGAGCGCUUUGCGCGAUGAGGAAAGUCCGAGCAUCACACAGCAGGGUAACGGCUAACGGCCGCCGAGGGUGACCUCCGGGACAGUGCAUAGAAAUAUACCGCCGCUUUUGCGGUAAGGGUGGAAUGGCGAGGUAAGAGCUCACCGGAAUGUCGGUAACGGCAUUGCCAGGCAAACCCUACCCGAUGCAACAUCGACAGAAGUUGUCAGCUGGGCAAAUACUUCGAAGGAUGGCUUGAGCGUGCCGGCAACGGUACGCCUAGACAGAUAACUGCUUUAAACGACAGAACUCGGCUUACAAGGCUGCUCACUCU
rfam:Eubacterium sp. CAG:180 genomic scaffold, scf38